ACGGGGAGCAGCAGGCGCGAAACCUUUACACUGCACGACAGUGCGAUAAGGGGACCCCGAAGUGCGAGGGCAUACAGUCCUCGCUUUUCGUGACCGUAAGGAGGUCACAGAAUAAGUGCUGGGCAAGACCGGUGCCAGCCGCCGCGGUAAUACCGGCAGCACGAGUGAUAGCCACUAUUAUUGGGCCUAAAGCGUCCGUAGCCGGCUACACAGGUCCGUCGGGAAAUCCACCCGCUCAACGGGUGGGCGUCCGGCGGAAACCAGGUAGCUUGGGGCCGGAAGACCAGAGGGGUACGUCCGGGGUAGGAGUGAAAUCCCGUAAUCCUGGACGGACCACCGGUUGCGAAAGCGCCUCUGGAGAACGGACCCGACGGUGAGGGACGAAAGCUAGGGUCUCGAACCGGAUUAGAUACCCGGGUAGUCCUAGCUGUAAACGAUGCCCGCUAGGUGUGGCGCAGGCUACGAGCCUACGCUGUGCCGUAGGGAAGCCGUGAAGCGGGCCGCCUGGGAAGUACGUCUGCAAGGAUGAAACUUAAAGGAAUUGGCGGGGGAGCAC
rnacentral:rRNA from 1 species